rfam:Dorea sp. 42_8 Ley3_66761_scaffold_11821, whole genome shotgun sequence.
CAAGUAAGACAGAUGAUCGCAGCUGUAAUUGCCGAAAGGCAGCAGGUGAGGAAAGUCCGGGCUUCACAGGGCAGGAUGCCGGAUAACGUCCGGUGGAGGUGACUCCAAGGAUAGUGCAACAGAAAUGUACCGCCAGGAUCUGAUCCUGGUAAGGUUGGAAGGGCAGUGUAAGAGACUACCGCCUUGCUGGUAACAGUAGGGGCAUAUGUAAACCCCAUCCGAAGCAAGACCGGAUAAAGACGAUGUGGCGGCCCGUCACGUCUUAGGUAGGUCGCUUGAACCCGCUGGUAACGGCGGGUCUAGAUAGAUGAUCAUCCAAUGACAUAACCCGGCUUAUCGUCUUGCUUGUAUA